GUCCACGCCCUAAACGAUGUCAACUAGGUGUUGGGUGGGUAAACCAUUUAGUACCGGAGCUAACGCGUGAAGUUGACCGCCUGGGGAGUACGGCCGCAAGGUUAAACUCAAAGGAAUUGACGGGGACCCGCACAAGCGGUGGAUGAUGUGGAUUAAUUCGAUGCAACGCGAAACCUUACCUACCCUUGACAUGUCCAGAAGCCUGAAGAGAUUUGGGUGUGCCCGAAAGGGAACUGGAACACAGGUGCUGCAUGGCUGUCGU
rnacentral:rRNA from 1 species